GGAAACUGUGAUGGCCUGAAGCAGGGGUGAGCAGGCAGGGAAAAUCCUACCAGGAGCGAGGUAGGGAGGGACUCUUUGAGGAUGUGAUUUUCAAGCGGGAGAAUGAAGUGCAGAAAGCCCACCACCAUGUCAUGAGGACACUCAAGCAGUCCUGUGGAGGGAUCCACCUGGGAAGGAAAUAAAGCCUCCUGCCAAUGGCCAGCACCACGUUCCAGCUGUGUGAGCGAGUCACCUUGGAAGCAGGUCCUCCAACCCACAGAGCCUUUGGAUGACUGCAGCCCCAACCAACAGGUCAGAAGACUGCAACCCAAUGAGAGUCCUGGGCCAGGACCACCAAGCCUCUCCCAAAUUCCUGACCCACUAAUAUUGUGAGAGAACAUGGUGUUUUAUUUUAUUAUGUUUAUUAUUGUUUAUUAUUAUUGUAGGCCACCAAAGUUUGAGGUAUUUGUUAGGUGAAAAUAAAUAUCUGAUACCAUCUCCUUCUUUUGAACUCAUUGGCCUUUUCAAUAAAUGUUUGUUU
rnacentral:lncRNA from 10 species